rnacentral:rRNA from 1 species
GACGGAAGGUGCAAGCGUGGCUCGGAAUCACUGGGGGUAAAGGGUGCGUAGGCGGCCGUGCAAGUCUGGCGUGAAAGCCCCGGGCUCAGCCCGGGAAGUGCGCUCGAAACUGCGCGGCUCGAGUGCCGGAGGGGAGAGUGGAAUUCCUGGUGUAGCGGUGAAAUGCGUAGAUAUCAGGAGGAACACCGGUGGCGAAGGCGGGUCUCUGGGCCGAUACUGACGCUGAGGAGCGAAAGCGUGGGGAGCGAACAGG